rnacentral:rRNA from 1 species
CGCUCUUUGUUUAUUUAGUAUAAAGAGUCGAACCUGCCCAGUGAUUUUAUUUAACGGCCGCGGUACUCUGACCGUGCAAAGGUAGCAUAAUCAUUUGCCUUAUAAUUAAAGGCUAGUAUGAAUGGUUUGACAAGAAUAGUGCUGUCUCACAUAGAUUUUAUAGAAUUUGGUUUUUAGGUGAAGAAACCUAAAUAAUAUUGAAAGACAAGAAGACCCUAUCGAGCUUAAAAGAAUUUGUUUGAAGUUUCUGUUUAUACCAGUUUCAAGUAAAGAUUUUGGUUGGGGCGACUAAGGAACAUGAAAAGCUUCCUAUAAAAUUUAUAAACUUUUAUGUUUUGAUCCAAAAAUUUUGAUUAACAGAUUUAGUUACCGUAGGGAUAACAGCAUAAUCUUUUUUGAGAGUUCUUAUCGAAAAAAAGGUUUGUGACCUCGAUGUUGGACUAGGAUAUCCAGAUAGGUGCAGAAGCCUUCAAUGGUUGGUCUGUUCGACCAUUAACAUCCUACA